CCGCCUCAUCGAGGGCUGCGGUCGCCGGGUGCCUCGCCACUACAAGUGCGGAAGCAUCACUACUCCGUGAGAGGCUGCAAAAGUUAAUUUGAUGACAGACUUCACUCGCAAUUACCAUAUACCUGUCUCGUUUUCUUUCUCUGUCCUAGUUGGAUAUUGUUGUUUGACCGUGUAGUGGGUUUUUAUUUUUUGUUUUAUUUUUAUUUUUUUUAUUUUAAAGAAUAUCUGUGUAAUAAGAGAACUUUUGUGUUCAUUUUCUAGUACUAGGCGAGUAUUUAUGUAGAACUAAUAUUAUCAGUUGCGAUACUCUACAUGGUCAUGUAUGGAAUAUAUAUGAAUUAAUAAGUGAGGUUUUUAUUUUUA